UACGUAGGGUGCGAGCGUUAAUCGGAAUUACUGGGCGUAAAGCGUGCGCAGGCGGUUUUGUAAGACAGACGUGAAAUCCCCGGGCUUAACCUGGGAACGGCGUUUGUGACUGCAAGGCUAGAGUGUGGCAGAGGGGGGUAGAAUUCCGCGUGUAGCAGUGAAAUGCGUAGAGAUGUGGAGGAAUACCGAUGGCGAAGGCAGUCCCCUGGGUCAAUACUGACGCUCAUGCACGAAAGCGUGGGGAGCAAACAGG
rnacentral:rRNA from 1 species